UCACUGACAGCGGUACACGUGACCGGAAAUUUGUUAUUUUCUCCCUGGAGUCCGCGGAGCGUCUGUGGUCUGUGUGGCCCCUCAGGACAUGUGACUGGAUUGUGUCGGAGAUCUGACAUGUAUACGCCGCAGGCCACACUCCCUGACCACAGAGAUGUCAAGCAGGAAUCCAGACGCUCGUGUGAAAGAAGAUAAAACGCGCAAAAUAGAUCAAUGUCUUGCAAAGGGCAUGAAAACAAUUGCUAUAUCUCGAAAACUGAAGAAAGAUCAUCAAUAUGUGAAUGAUUCACUGCACAGGCAAAUACGAUAUGAUAAAGGCUUAUUACACUACUCAAAAAAGUUAGGGAUAUUUGGCUUGUGGGUGAAAUUUCAGGAUGAACCUAAAAUGCGCUAUAACCUUUACAGGUGAACGUAAUGGGACCUUCUCUAAACUUUUGAAUGCACAUGUCCAACUGUUCAAUGUUUCAGUACUUUUUGCACAACUUGCUGUUCUCUAACAAGGAGCUUAAUGGCAAAAUUCACAACAGGUGUUUGAUCCAUGAAUCGCCAAAUAAAUUUCCUGAUUCAAUUAGAACUGGUAUUUAAACAGUCCUCCUCAUCAUGCUGUUCACGUUUUGACAUCAUGAGACCAAGACGACACCUAACAAUUGAUCAACAGUACCUCGCCAUUGCGAGGUUUCAAGUAGGAUGACCUCAGACAGAAGUGGCCACUGAGCUUAGAGUGUCAUAGAGUGUGAUCAGCAGGUUGCAACUGAGUCUCGGAAAGGCAUAUAAGUGGAUGUCCUUUGGCUACAUCCCACACUGAUGACCACUGCGGAAUCGGAAGAUGAAUGCGACACAACUCCAGGCACAUUUAAGGGAGGUGAGAGGCACCCAAGUGUCACGUCAGACCAUUCAAAACCAUUGACAUGAUUUGGAACAUGAUGUAGUAAUAUCAAGUAUUGUGUAGUAUGAUAUAGUAUUAACCCCUUAGUGACCACUAAUACGCCUUUUUACUAACAUAAACAAAGGGGUUUUUAGCUAGACAGCUUGCUUUAAUCAAUCAUUACAUGUACUUAAAAUGGUGCACUAAAAACUAUAACUUGUUCUGCAAAAAAAUAAGACCUCAUACAAGUACGUUGUCGAAAAAACUAAAAAGUUAUAGCUCUUGGAAUGCAAUUUAAAAAAGGGGUUAACAUGUAACCUGUUAUAUGUAAUAAAGUAUUAACAUGUAA